rnacentral:misc_RNA from 1 species
UACAGAGACCUCAAGCGUUAUCCGGAUUUAUUGGGCGUAAAGGGUCCGCAGGCGGCCCCUCAAGUCAUUUGUCAAAUCGUUGGGCUUAACCCGACGGCUGCAGAUGAUACUGAAGGGCUAGAGACUGGGAGAGGCACGUGGAAUUUGUGGUGUAGUCGUAAUAAGCGUUGAUAUCACAAGGAACACCAAAUGCGAAGGCAGCGUGCUGGAACAGUUCUGACGCUCAGGGACGAAAGCGUGGGGAGCGAAAGGG